rnacentral:tRNA from 1 species
GCCCGGGUGGUGAAAUUGGUAGACACAAGGGACUUAAAAUCCCUCGGCGGGUGACCGCCGUACGGGUUCGAUUCCCGUCCCGGGCACCA